GUCCCGUUGGUGUAAUGGUCAACACUACUUGGCUGAUGCUUUGUCGUGUUGCGAUGCGGCUUACUGUCCAGCAUAGAAGUUACCGGUUCGAAUCCGGUACGGGUCA